UACACAUGCAAGUCGUACGAGAGUUUUUAACUCUAGUGGCGGACGGGUGAGUAACACGUGAGAAUUUGCCUUUAGGAGGGGGACAACAAUCGGAAACGAAUGCUAAUACCCCAUAUGCUUUCGAGUGAAAUGGAUUUUAUCCGCCUAGAGAGAAGCUCGCGGCUGAUUAGCUUGUUGGUAAGGUAAGAGCUUACCAAGGCGACGAUCAGUAUCUGGUUUGAGAGGACGAUCAGACACACUGGAACUGAGACACGGUCCAGACUCCUACGGGAGGCAGCAGUGGGGAAUUUUCCGCAAUGGGCGAAAGCCUGCCGGAGCAAUACCGCGUGAGGGAAGAAUGCCUAUGGGUUGUAAACCUCUUUUUUCAGGGAGGAAUCAAAUGACGUGUACCUGAAGAAUAAGCAUCGGCUAACUCCGUGCCAGCAGCCGCGGUAAGACGGGGGAUGCAAGUGUUAUCCGGAAUCACUGGGCGUAAAGCGUCUGUAGGUGGUUUAAUAAGUCAACUGUUAAAUCUUGAUGGCUCAACUUCAAAAUCGCAGUCGAAACUAUUAGACUAGAGUAUAGUAGAGGUAAAGGGAAUUUCCAGUGGAGCGGUGAAAUGCGUAGAUAUUGGAAAGAACACCGAUGGCGAAAGCACUUUACUGGGCUAUUACUAACACUCAGAGACGAAAGCUAGGGUAGCAAAUGGGAUUAGAUACCCAGUAGUCUAGCUGUAACAAUGGAUCUAGAUGUUGACAGAUCGACUGUGCAGUAUCAAGCUACGCGUUAG
rnacentral:rRNA from 1 species